rnacentral:rRNA from 1 species
GACGAACGCUGGCGGCGUGCUUAACACAUGCAAGUCGAACGGUGAAGGGACCGGUUUUUGCUGGUUCUGGAUGAGUGGCGAACGGGUGAGUAACACGUGAGUAACCUGCCCCCUUCUUCUGGAUAACCGCAUGAAAGUGUGGCUAAUACGGGAUAUUCUGCGCCUGCUGCAUGGUGGGUGUGGGAAAGAUAUUGUUUCGGUGGGGGAUGGGCUCGCGGCCUAUCAGCUUGUUGGUGGGGUGAUGGCCUACCAAGGCGGUGACGGGUAGCCGGCCUGAGAGGGUGGACGGUCACACUGGGACUGAGACACGGCCCAGACGCGUACGGGAGGCAGCAGUGGGGAAUAUUGCACAAUGGGCGCAAGCCUGAUGCAGCGACGCCGCGUGAGGGAUGGAGGCCUUCGGGUUGUAAACCUCUUUCGCCAGUGAAGCAGGCCUGUCCCUUUUGUGGGUGGGUUGACGGUAGCUGGAUAAGAAGCGCCGGCUAACUACGUG